rnacentral:rRNA from 1 species
CAGUCGCCGCGGUAAUACGAAGGGCGCGAGCGUUACCCGGAUUUACUGGGCGUAAAGGGCGUGUAGGCGGCCUGGGGCGUCCCAUGUGAAAGGCCACGGCUCAACCGUGGAGGAGCGUGGGAUACGCUCAGGCUAGAGGGUGGGAGAGGGUGGUGGAAUUCCCGGAGUAGCGGUGAAAUGCGCAGAUACCGGGAGGAACGCCGAUGGCGAAGGCAGCCACCUGGUCCACCUCUGACGCUGAGGCGCGAAAGCGUGGGGAGCAAACCGGAUUAGAUACCCGCGUAGUCCCUGUCUCUUAUAC